AGCAGCCGCGGUAAUUCCAGCUCCAAUAGCGUAUAUUAAAGUUGUUGCAGUUAAAAAGCUCGUAGUUGAAUUUCGGGAUCAAUGCGUCGGUCGUGCUUUCGGGUACGUGCUGGUGUCAUUGGUUUCUCCUUUCUGACGAGCCGUGAUGUCAUUAAUUUAGUGUUACGGGUAGUUAGGACUGUUACUUUGAAAAAAUUAGAGUGUUUAAAGCAGGCUCACGCUUGAAUACAUUAGCAUGGAAUAAUGAAAUAGGACGUAUGAUCCUAUUUUGUUGGUUUCUAGGAUUGACGUAAUGAUUAAUAGGGAUAGUUGGGGGCAUUAGUAUUCAAUUGUCAGAGGUGAAAUUCUUGGAUUUAUUGAAGACUAACUACUGCGAAAGCAUUUGCCAAGGAUGUUUUCAUUAAUCAAGAACGAAAGUUAGGGGAUCGAAGACGAUCAGAUACCGUCGUAGUCUUAACCAUAAACUAUGCCGACUAGGGAUCGGAUGAUGUUAAUUUUUUUAAUGACUCAUUCGGCGCCU
rnacentral:rRNA from 1 species